rnacentral:rRNA from 1 species
ACGGCGAGUGAAGCGGCAAGAGCUCAAAUUUGAAAUCUGGCCCCCUCAGGGUCCGAGUUGUAAUUUGUAGAGGGUGCUUUGGCGUCGGCCACGGCCUAAGUUCCUUGGAACAGGACGCCACAGAGGGUGAGAACCCCGUACGUGGCCGCUGGCCUUCGCCGUGUAAAGCCCCUUCGACGAGUCGAGUUGUUUGGGAAUGCAGCUCUAAAUGGGAGGUAAAUUUCUUCUAAAGCUAAAUACUGGCCAGAGACCGAUAGCGCACAAGUAGAGUGAUCGAAAGAUGAAAAGCACUUUGGAAAGAGAGUCAAAAAGCACGUGAAAUUGUUGAAAGGGAAGCGCUUGCAGCCAGACUUGCCUGUAGUUGCUCACCCGAGCCUCGGCUCGGUGCACUCUUCUGCGGGCAGGCCAGCAUCAGUCCGGGCGGUCGGAUAAAGGCCGCGGGAAUGUAGCUCCCCUCGGGGAGUGUUAUAGCCCGCGGUGGCAUGCGACCAGCCUGGACUGAGGUCCGCGCAUCUGCUAGGAUGCUGGCGUAAUGGCUGUAAGCGGCCCGUCUUGAAACACGGACCAAGGAGUCUAACAUCUAUGCGAGUGUUUGGGUGUCAAGCCCGGGCGCGCAAUGAAAGUGAACGGAGGUGGGAACCCCUCGGGGCGCACCAUCGACCGAUCCUGAUGUCUUCGGAUGGAUUUGAGUAAGAGCAUAGCUGUUGGGACCCGAAAGAUGGUGAACUAUGCCUGAAUAGGGUGAAGCCAGAGGAAACUCUGGUGGAGGCUCGCAGCGGUUCUGACGUGCAAAUCGAUCGUCAAAUUUGGGCAUAGGGGCGAAAGACUAAUCGAA